rnacentral:rRNA from 1 species
UACGGAGGGUGCGAGCGUUGUCCGGAAUCACUGGGCGUAAAGGGCGCGUAGGCGGCGCGGAUAGUCGGCGGUGAAAGCCCGGAGCUCAACUCCGGGUCGGCCGUCGAUACUUCCGGGCUUGAGCACUGUAGAGGCAGAUGGAAUUCCGGGUGUAGCGGUGAAAUGCGCAGAUAUCAGGAGGAACACCGGUGGCGAAGGCGGGUCUCUGGGCCGAUACUGACGCUGAGGAGCGAAAGCGUGGGGAGCGAACAGG